AAGUCGUAACAAGGUUUCCGUAGGUGAACCUGCGGAAGGAUCAUUAACACGUCUUGUGCGCCCGUUCGGACAGCAAUCCCUAGUAAAUCAUUGUUGAACAGAGUUUGAUUUAGGGACCUCUGUACGGAAGGACUGCGGUUUGCGUGCAUUUGAGUGGUAGCGCAAGCAUCCUGGUGCCUUUUAGACGGUUAUCGUGUGGAAGUGACGAUAACGUUACCGUGUGUCAGUGACGGUAACCUGUCAACGAGGUGACUCCGAAACACGUUUGCUAGAGGUCACACGACCGGCAACCGGGAUCCAGGCCGAAAGGUCCCUAACCACCCCUCGCAAGAAUUUAGCGUGCACCUAACGGUCGUACGCACCCCCAAACUGAACAACUGUUAACAAUGGAUAUCUUGGUUCUC
rnacentral:misc_RNA from 1 species